UUAAAAGGUAGUGCUCUGGGUUAUUCAGUUAAAGAUGCCCUCCUGAUGAGGUUUCCCACAAGUUAGAGACCUGGAGAAAGGAGGCAGCACAGGAUUCAUGUUCACCGUCAGCCUCGGCAGAGCCAAGGAAGAUUGAAUUUGAAAUUUGAAUUAUACGCCAGACUUGAAGCUCUCCUUCCUCCAGUCAAACCAGGAAAGAAGCAGAAGAGGAAGAAGAUGGAAAUCUAAUGUCUUCCAAACCUUCCAACCACCUUGAGCCUAUCAGUAAGAAUAGGCAUCCAAUAUUCAACAAAUUUAUCUAGUCAUGGAGCUCACUGUAAAGUUACAUGGACUUGGAGAAGUGACUUAAUGUUUCUGUACCUCAGUUUUCUCAUCUGUAAAAUGGGGGAAUAAUAACAGCAAUUUAACCCAGAGGCAUAUUGUGAGGAAUAAAUGAAGUAAAAUUGUAA